rnacentral:pre_miRNA from 1 species
AGGAGGAACAGCCCCAGUGGCGGGGCAGCUCUGGAAACCUGGAUUCCGCCCCCGCAGGAACUCCGGAGCUCUCCGUCUGCAGGGCCUGGAGGCUCCGGGGCGGG